rnacentral:tRNA from 1 species
AACCUCUGAGCUAAGUGGGC